rnacentral:rRNA from 1 species
AAAACUAAACUGCAAGUCGAACGAGAGACCUUCGGGUCUCUAGUGGCGAACGGGUGAGUAACACGUAGGGAACCUGCCCGCGCACCGGGAAUACGCUCUGGAAACGGAGAACAAAUCCCGAUGUACAGGAAGGAGGCAUCUUCUUUCUGUGAAACAUCCUUUCGGGGAUGGGGCGCGGAUGGACCUGCGGUGCAUUAGUUGGUUGGCGGGGUAAAGGCCCACCAAGACGAUGAUGCAUAGCCGGCCUGAGAGGGCGGACGGCCACAUUGGGACUGAGACACGGCCCAGACUCCUGCGGGAGGCAGCAGUAGGGAAUUUUCGUCAAUGGGCGCAAGCCUGAACGAGCGAUGCCGCGUGAGUGAAGAAGGCCUUCGGGUCGUAAAGCUCUGUUGCGGGGGAAAAAAGGCAGCAUCAGGAAAUGGGUGCUGACUGAUGGUGCCCCGCCAGAAAGUCACGGCUAACUACGUGCCAGCAGCCGCGGUAAUACGUAGGUGGCGAGCGUUAUCCGGAAUGAUUGGGCGUAAAGGGUGCGCAGGCGGUCCUGCAAGUCUGGAGUGAAACGCAUGAGCUCAACUCAUGCAUGGCUUUGGAAACUGGAGGACUGGAGAGCAGGAGAGGGCGGUGGAACUCCAUGUGUAGCGGUAAAAUGCGUAGAUAUAUGGAAGAACACCAGUGGCGAAGGCGGCCGCCUGGCCUGUUGCUGACGCUGAGGCACGAAAGCGUGGGGAGCAAAUAGGAUUAGAUACCCUA